UCCUACGGGAGGCAGCAGUGGGGAAUAUUGGACAAUGGGGGGAGCCCUGAUCCAGCCAUGCCGCGUGUGUGAAGAAGGCCCUCGGGUUGUAAAGCACUUUCAGCGAGGAAGAACGCCUAGCGGUUAAUACCCGCUAGGAAAGACAUCACUCGCAGAAGAAGCACCGGCUAACUCCGUGCCAGCAGCCGCGGUAAUACGGAGGGUGCAAGCGUUAAUCGGAGUUACUGGGCGUAAAGCGCGCGUAGGUGGCUUGAUAAGCCGGUUGUGAAAGCCCCGGGCUCAACCUGGGAACGGCAUCCGGAACUGUCAAGCUAGAGUGCAGGAGAGGAAGGUAGAAUUCCCGGUGUAGCGGUGAAAUGCGUAGAGAUCGGGAGGAAUACCAGUGGCGAAGGCGGCCUUCUGGACUGACACUGACACUGAGGUGCGAAAGCGUGGGUAGCAAACAGGAUUAGAUACCCUGGUAGUCCACGCCGUAAACGAUGUCGACCAGCCGUUGGGUGCCUAGCGCACUUUGUGGCGAAGUUAACGCGAUAAGUCGACCGCCUGGGGAGUACGGCCGCAAGGUUAAAACUCAAAUGAAUUGACGG
rnacentral:rRNA from 1 species